rnacentral:misc_RNA from 1 species
CGCACAUUGCGCCCCUUGGUAUUCCUUGGGGCAUGCCUGUUCGAGCGUCAUUUACAAAUUCAAGCUCUGCUUGGUGUUGGGCGUCUGUCCCGCCUCGUGCGCGGACUCGCCUCAAAGCAAUUGGCGGCUGGUAUGAUGGCCCGAGGUGCAGCACAUUGCGCCCCAGGUCCGGAUGCUGGCUCCCACAAGCUAAACCCCACAAUGUUUGACCUCGAAUCAGGUAGGGAUACCCGCUGAACUUAA